GUUCAAGGAUGUGAAAGUCGUACACGCUAUUCUCGUCCGUGAAAGACAACAAACAACUAUUAAAACCUCCCAAAAUGUGGACAAAAACAAUAUUUCAAGCCGGGCUAUAUAAAACAGCAGUCUAUAAACAUGCAGUCAACUAUAAACAGGUAAACAUUUUAAAAUUCACAUUUUUAUUUUAGUAUUUCAUGAAAAAAUGUUAGGAAUAAAUGGUAAAAUGUACUCUAUUUUUUUAGAAAAUAAGCCACAAGUGUUUAUAAUGUGGUUGUAGAUAAACCUUUUUGUAUUUACUGUAUUAAGUUUAUGCAAUAAUUUCAUCCCUUGCAAUAUCGAGUUGCACAACAGUACAUGUAUGAUGAAACUAUGAUGUUUUGGUGUAUUAAAGAGGAAAUUAAGGUUUUAUAUAUUUAGCCAAAGGUUUUGUUAUGCAUGAGCUUGUGGUGAACUAAUGCAAGAAAAAGCUCAGCUGCCUAGUAGGGCCAGCUGAAGUGAGAAGGCAUGUUUUAUAUCCAAAAUUGUGCAUUGUAGUUUUAAUAUGUGCUCUCUGAUUGUAUUGUAUUGUAUCAUUUGUAUGAUAGUUUGUUGUAUGUGUCUUUAAAAGGCCAUUAGCUUGUUUGCCCCAUCCUUCAAAUAUUAAAGUUAAUUGUGAGUCUCUAGUUUUGCCAUAUUGCAGUAAGCGAGACUUUACUGCGUGGUUAUUUUAAUAUUUUUAUAGUGGAAAUUCCUUUCAAUUUGCAUGGAUAACCUGGCUCAGUUUGAGAUCUCACUUGAACAAGACAAGAUCU